CCCAACUAGGAAUUGUAUUGAAGCACAUGACCCUAGGGGGACCAACCUAAUUCAAUCUCCUGCAUAGGUGCUGAUCAUUGUCACUAGGAAGAAAAAGGCUGUGAAGGCAACAGUCAAGACAGGCACUGUGCUGAGGUAGUGAGCGGGACACUCUCCACCUCUCCAGGUCAUGUUCUCAUGGAUCAUUCAUGAGGGAAUUAUAAGUGGAAAAAAAAAAAGGAAAACACCGUGUGGAUAUGUUUGUGCUUUGGAUUGGGGUUUGGUCCCUAUAGUCCAGGGAGAUGUGUUUUUUUCCCCCUGUAAAACGAAAUGACUCUUAUGUACCUAUCUUGGCUCAAUUUCACCUCCAUAUGUUGGGAUUUUUCCUGUAUAUCUCAGCAGAGGUCAAGGAAAAUUCUCAACCUCAAUUAAUGGCCAAUCUCUUCAGAAAGAAGAACCUAGGCAUUCAGUACAUGCUGCUUUCCUGCAUAGCUGUGAAGGCUUGACUCUGUAAAUUAUCCUACCAUGGCUUUGCAGGGACCUGAAAAGCAUAUAGUGUCGAGGAAGGCACAGAGAAGCA
rnacentral:lncRNA from 1 species